UUGACAAAUGUGGAAAAAGAUUGUCAAAAACCAAGGGUUCUUCUACAUGUUGAUUGGAAAAUACUUUCCUCUAUACCUCGGAGACCGCAGACUGAAUUCAUCUUGACCAAUCUCUCUCCGUGGGAAGUUUUGUCCCAAGGCAGUUUUGGACACAGAAGAUCUGUACUCAUCCGGUGGUGUCUCCUUAGCCCCAUUCCAGGGAUGGACGGGAGGGCAGCUGUGCGGCCAGGAGACAGAGGCUUCUCAAGGCUGCUUUUCAAGACGCUGCCUCUGGACUCCAGCAACCAACAAAAGCCCAGACGCUGCUGAACCAAACACUAAUGUUCAUCUUCAGCUCUCCGAAGGAUGCUGGGCAGCAGGAGAAUGGAGCUGGAUGCCGUCUUUAUUCCCGAGUCAGAGACGAGACUGGCCUCACACUCAGAGAUCUGCCUGCCUCUGCCUCCCAAGUGCUAGAAUUCAGGCAUGUGUGCCACCAUCUCCAAAAUCUGUGGGAAAAGUCAACUACCAUUUUGAGAAGCCAUGAUGGACUAUGGAAAGAACAUACGGUGAGAAACUGAGGUCUGCCGGCCACCACAGUGGUCCUGGGGACAGGUCUAUCUCAGUCUAACUGCAGGCCUAAGGCACAUUGACUGUAACCACAGGAGAGACCUUGUACCCAAGAGAUCAGGAUAAUCCCCUUCAGAGAAACAAGUGUUUGUUGUUGAAGUUGCUGCUUUGGGGGACAAUUUGCUAUGCAACAGUUACACAGCAAGUGUGCUCCAUCAUUGAGUAGCUGGGAGAACAAGGACUUGAAGGAAGCCACGGCUCUUGUCAGCACUCUUUCUAGGAUAUAAAACUUCAACUUCUUCUUCCUCCUUCUCCUCCUUUGUUUAUUUAUUAUUAUAAAUAUAUAUAUAUUUUUUGAGACAGGGUUUUUCUGUAUAGCCCUGGCUGUCCUGGAACUCACUCUGUAGACCAGGCUGGCCUCGAACUUAGAAAUCCGCCUGCCUCUGCCUCCUGAGUGCUGGGAUUAAAGGCAUGCGCCACCACUCCCGGCUUCGUUUAUUUAUUUUAUAUAAGUACAUUGUCUUCAGAUACCAGAAGAGGGCAUUAGUUUCUAUUACGGAUGGUUGUGAGUCCCCAUGUGGCUGCUGGCAAUUGAACUCAGGACCUUUGGAAGAGCAGUCAGUGCUCUUAACCACUGAGCCAUCUCACCAGCAACACUGCCCCCUCCCCCGCCCCAACAAGUAUCUUUCUUACUAAUCAAUAAUAACCAUGUGAGUAAAAGGCUCACUUUGUUUAUUACGAGAAGGCUAUCCUAAAUUUUUAUACCACUCAGGCUACCUUCAAACUCAUGGGAAUCCUCCUGUCUCAACUUUCCAAGUGCUGGGACUGUAGGUGUAAGCCAUCACAACACAUCACAGGUUCUCUUCCUGCACAGAGGGAAUUUUUUUUUUGAGACUUCAUUUUUAUUUCAUGUGCAUGGAUGUUUUUGCCUAACUGUGUCUAUGCACCGCAAGCAUGCACUACCCACUGAGGCCAUGGGAAAGCAUUGGAUCCUCUGGAACUGGAUUUACAGGCAGCUGUGAGCUGCCAUGUGGGUGUGGGGAACCAAAUCCAGGUCUUCUGGAAGAACAGUCAGUGCUCUUAACCACUGAGACAUCUCGUACAGCCCCAAACAGAACAAAUUUUAUUAAGGUUUAGCUAGCUUUUGUAAAAACAAAUCUUACCCUACUUUUUUUUUUAGCAAGAAUAUUUUACUAAGGAAAUUUAUUUCAAAAAUACUGCACAUUUUAAAUCUUUUAGAAAACACUUUCUUAAAAUUGCUUAGAGGUGGCAGGGCAGUGGUGGCGCACACCUUUAAUCCCAGCACUUGGGAGGCAGAGGCAGGCAGAUUUCUGAGUUCAAGACCAGCCUGGUCUACAGAGUGAGUUCCAGGACAGCCAGGGAAACCCUGUCUCGAAAAAAAAAAAAAGUUUUUUUGCUUAGAGUGCUGCUCCACUGUCAAGAGUGGCUGUCAACCACACACCCUAGCUGUGAUCCCAAACAACUCUAUAAACCAAGCAUGACAUGGUUGGUGCUUUCCUGGAAGCCCAGCACUUGGGAAGCAAAUUCAAGAUCAAAAAUUGAAGACAUCCCUAACAUGUGGAUGUACACAAGGGUGCUACCCUUGGGCACGUGCUCUUGGGUUCUCUAAGAAAGCAGGCUGAGAAAGCCAUGAGGAGCAACUGUAUCUUCUGCUUCAGUUCCUGCCCCCAGGUUCCUGCCCUACCUUGAGUUCCUGCUUUGACUUCUCUCAGUGAUGACCCAUCGCCAGGAAGUGUUAGAUGAAAUAAAGUUUUUCUUCCCCAAGUUGCUUUUCGUCAGGAUGUUUUAUCAUAGUAAUAAAACCUUACCUAAGACGGGAGUUGGCACAAUGGACUAUCACUGUGACAGAUUGAACAUGUUUUGGGGAGGAUUGUGAAAGGCUUUUGGAACUUUGGGCCGGGAAAGCCAUUGAGGCUUCAGAGCUUGAUGGCUUGUUGUGUAAAUCUGGACUAUAGGAUCCUCAUGAACAGUGCAGAUCAUGGAAACCUCAGGUGUGAUGUUUCAGAGUGCAGUAAAGACCCCAUCAGGGCUGUUUGAGCUGUAGUUUGAAUUUAGAGCCACUGAAGUGAAACCUUUUCUUCAGGAUCGUUGAUACUGGUCAGCUGGAGCUGAGAAAUGAGCCUUCAUUAAAAAGACAUCAGCACCGACUGGAUAGCCACUGGCUCCCACCUGACUCGACUGUCCCAAUACAUCUGAAAACAAACAAGGAUGAUGCAGACUCAGCCGUCCCACUCUGCCUACACUGGGCUACCUUGGCAUUUCCAGUCCCCAAGAGAUGCCCCUACAUCCAAGCACCUGACUGAAUAUCCAAGACUCAAGAAACAUCUUAGGCUAUAUCCCCUCCCCCUGGCACCUUCCAAGUAAAGGUGUGCAUGUCCUCUCUGCUCUGCAGAAUUCUCUCCUUCCUGCACGCGACCAUUUGCUUGCUCACCAUGGCAGCCUCAGACCCAGCACAGGAGCCAUCAAAUAGCUUGUGAUGUCUGUGGGACCCAUGGAUAGGAUCGUGAGUGAGCUAGCUAGCAGGUUCCUUCCCUGAUGACCUGACCCUCCAGCAUCACCACCUUCACCUCUCUGACUUCUUAACUGGCAAUU